UUUAUGGAGAGUUUGAUCCUGGCUCAGGAUGAACGCUGGCGGCGUGCCUAAUACAUGCAAGUCGAGCGAACAGAUAAGGAGCUUGCUCCUUUGACGUUAGCGGCGGACGGGUGAGUAACACGUGGAUAACCUACCUAUAAGACUGGGAUAACUUCGGGAAACCGGAGCUAAUACCGGAUAACAUAUUGAACCGCAUGGUUCAAUAGUGAAAGGCGGCUUUGCUGUCACUUAUAGAUGGAUCCGCGCCGUAUUAGCUAGUUGGUAAGGUAACGGCUUACCAAGGCAACGAUACGUAGCCGACCUGAGAGGGUGAUCGGCCACACUGGAACUGAGACACGG
rnacentral:rRNA from 1 species